rnacentral:rRNA from 1 species
CCUACGGGAGGCAGCAGUGGGGAAUAUUGGACAAUGGGCGAAAGCCUGAUCCAGCCAUGCCGCGUGUGUGAAGAAGGCCUUCGGGUUGUAAAGCACUUUCAGUGGGGAAGAAAGCCUUGGGGCUAAUACCCUCGAGGAAGGACAUCACCCACAGAAGAAGCACCGGCUAACUCCGUGCCAGCAGCCGCGGUAAUACGGAGGGUGCGAGCGUUAAUCGGAAUUACUGGGCGUAAAGCGCGCGUAGGCGGUCUGAUAAGCCGGUUGUGAAAGCCCCGGGCUCAACCUGGGAACGGCAGCCGGAACUGUCAGGCUAGAGUGCAGGAGAGGAAGGUAGAAUUCCCGGUGUAGCGGUGAAAUGCGUAGAGAUCGGGAGGAAUACCAGUGGCGAAGGCGGCCUUCUGGACUGACACUGACGCUGAGGUGCGAAAGCGUGGGUAGCAAACAGGAUUAGAUACCCGUGUAGUC